CAAUGUCUUCAAAAUUCACCAUCAAAAAAUUCAAUGUUCAAAAUUCGCCAUCAAAAAAUUCAGUGUUCAAAAUUCUCUGUCAAAAAAUUCAAUGUUCAAAAUUCACUGUCAAAAAAUUCGCUGUUCACAUCCGGGGGACUCAGGCGUAAACAAUCGAACCAAAAUCGAACCAACGCCCAGCCAAUCACGUGGCGCUCCUCCGGUCAUGUGACGCAGACGGUUCACCUCACAAGACCGGGGUCAACCACGGCUACCAGCAUGAACGACGGCGCUUCAGACCUUUGUAGCGAGGACCCGAUGCCAGGUCCAGUGGACAGACUUCAGACGUCUCUGUGUGUCCGGUCCUGUCUCUGGUUGCCUGGUUACAGACGCUGCUGCACCCGCACGUUUAAAAAUGUCUACACCUGAAACUCCACCACGUCUAAAGAAGCAAAAACGUUUGCAAAUGUACAGACUGGAGUGGGAAGAGUGGAACCCCUGGCAAUGGAUACAAGGCAAACUGUGUUUUCUGUUGCUCAUGGACUGGCUGAAGUAAGGCAGCAUCAGGAGACAAACAUGGAGGAAAUAUGAGAACAGAGAGAACCCAACCAGCAGGUCACAGUUUAUCAUCAUCUAAUCAUCUCCUGAAGUCCAUAUGACCAAAGAACUACAGACUCUUCACAACCUGCUCAAACUCUUGGUACAGGACCUCACCACACGGGUCAAGAAGGUUUCCAUCUCAUUUCUACUCUGAAGCUCACCUUCUCCUGCUCAAACUGCUGACAAAUGUUUCUGCUGCUCUAAAGUCUGGUCUCCAGAACUUCCUAAAAACUCUCAGAGUCUCUUCUGCUGCAGGUUGCUUUGUAGAACUGUUCCAGAAAACCUCAUUAAACCACAUGGAGGGGCCUCAAGAUAGUCAUCCAAAUGAAACCAUACAAAAACCAAACUAGCACAACCCAAACGCUAAAGUCUCCUGCAGCCUACCAGAGAACCUCUGAGAACAGAGAAUCAGGACAGGAACUCUUACCUUCUGGACAACCAACGUUGGUUCACAAACAAGAACACAGAAUGUGUCUGACCAAAAACCUCUGAAGACUCACUACAGCCAAGAUAAAGACACAACUCAGCUGCACCAAAUCCACUAAUCACUGCACACCAUGUGCUAACUGUGGCUAAAGAACCACAUUUACCAAGACAACUAUCCAGUACAAAGCCCUAAAACACACCAAGAAACACAUUAAAGAUGAUUUUACUGCUGGAAGCUGCAAGCCAACGCCUAAAGAACAAACUGAAGCAACGGAGCCAAACCCAGUUCACUGGUGAAGAGAAACAGAGGAAAUGUUUGUCUGCAGCUAAAUAAAGCAGGAAGACACUGAGCUGCUCAGGUGUUCCUGAUAACACCAAGCUGCUCAGGUGUUCCUGAUAACACCAAGCAGCCACCUGGACAGCCAAUAGGAACACAGCUUACUGGAAGUCCAGAGGGCUGGGUUAGUGAAGG
ensembl:lncRNA